AGACUCCCAUACGUAAUGCAUGACUUUGUGUAGGGGACCAAAAAUCAAGAAUUCUGCAGAGACGUUAGCAUAAUAUUCUUUUCUUUGGCAGCAAGGAGCCGUGGGCUAUAUGUAUGGGGUGAAAGGGUGUAAGGGAUUUUGAAUGGAUAAUAUUUUUUCUCCCUUCUCAUCUCUCUUCCUUAGGAGGCGGCUAUCCUUGAAAUAGCCAUUUGAAUUCCUCUUUUUAGUUCUAUAGAUAGGAAUGUCCAUACCUAUGAGAGAGAGAGAGAGAGAGAGACCUGGGAAGUACUUACCAACGAUGCGAAAGAUAUGAUUGUCAUAGUUAUUGGUGCCUUCUACAUGGAAGACCUGCAAGGCGUCGAGGUUGGAAAAGUCUUUGUUGAAAAGGAAGAUAUGAUUGUCAUAGAUAUUGGUGCCUUCUACAUGGAAGACCUGCAAGGCGCCGAGGUUGAAAAAGUCUUUGUUGAAAAGGUUUCAUCUAUAGAGGAAUGAGAAUUGUAUGAUCUUGGAGUUGCUAGCUUAACAUUUUGGAUCCCUAACAUCAAUUUGGUUAAGGUUCUAAGAUGGAGAAGAACAUUUGGUGAAGAUCAGGUUAUCAUAAACUUACUUUGAUACUACCCCUUUUAGCCUUACAUCGAAAUUGGAGCUCUAUUGAUUGGAUAUACUUUUUAGACUUUGAGAAUACUUGAUAAAAAUCAAUAGUUUAGGAGAAUAAAAGCUCAAUUGAGAUCGAACUUGGGAUCGUACGCUUAUUUACACAAUCUUCGAUUUCCCCUAACCAUGUAGGCAACUCACGGAUGGGUUUUGCUCGACAUUCCUUUAUGUUCUUAUCAAUGUAUAGUUCCUUAAAACAAGAAUAUAAAUGUAAGAAAGGAGGAGAUUUAUUGCAA